CCUGGUGUCGUUCUCCAAUCGGUCCUCCGGAGCGCGCACCACCAUCGCCAAAGCCAGCUCGGCGUCGGGUCUAUUCCCGCCUCUCUACUAUCCAUUACAGCGCUCGCCGAAAACGCGAUGGCGCCGGAUUGCACGGAGCAAGCGAACACGCCACAGGAACCACAGAGGUCUAACAA
rnacentral:lncRNA from 1 species